rnacentral:rRNA from 1 species
UACGGGGGGAGCAAGCGUUGUUCGGAUUUACUGGGCGUAAAGGGCGCGUAGGCGGCCACCGCAAGUCGACUGUGAAAUCUCCGGGCUUAACCCGGAAAGGUCAGCCGAUACUGCGGGGCUAGAGUGCAGAAGGGGCAACUGGGAAUUCUCGGUGUAGCGGUGAAAUGCGUAGAUAUCGAGAGGAACACCUGCGGCGAAGGCGGGUUGCUGGGCUGACACUGACGCUGAUGCGCGAAAGCUAGGGAGCGAACGGG